rnacentral:rRNA from 1 species
UACGUAGGUCCCGAGCGCUGUCCGGAUUUAUUGGGCGUAAAGCGAGCGCAGGUGGUUUAUUAAGUCUGGUGUAAAAGGCAGUGGCUCAACCAUUGUAUGCAUUGGAAACUGGUAGACUUGAGUGCAGGAGAGGAGAGUGGUAUUCCAUGUGUAGCGGUGAAAUGCGUAGAUAUAUGGAGGAACACCGGUGGCGAAAGCGGCUCUCUGGCCUGUAACUGACACUGAGGCUCGAAAGCGUGGGGAGCAAACAGG